rnacentral:rRNA from 1 species
GUAGGGUGCGAGCGUUAAUCGGAAUUACUGGGCGUAAAGCGUGCGCAGGCGGUUUUGUAAGACAGGCGUGAAAUCCCCGAGCUCAACUUGGGAAUGGCGCUUGUGACUGCAAGGCUAGAGUAUGUCAGAGGGGGGUAGAAUUCCACGUGUAGCAGUGAAAUGCGUAGAGAUGUGGAGGAAUACCGAUGGCGAAGGCAGCCCCCUGGGACGUCACUGACGCUCAUGCGCGAAAGCGUGGGGAGCAAACAGGAUUAGAUACCCUGGUAGUCCACGCCCUAAACGAUGUCAACUAGUUGUUGGGGAUUCAUUUCUUCAGUAACGUAGCUAACGCGUGAAGUUGACCGCCUGGGGAGUACGGUCGCAAGAUUA